rnacentral:rRNA from 1 species
GGAUGGGUAAUGGGGCCCCACAGGCUUACUGAUCCUAACCAAACUCCGAAUACCCGGGAGUACUAUACGGCAGACACACUGCGGAUGCUAACGUCCGUAGUGGAGAGGGAAACAACCCUGACCUCCAGCUAAGGCCCCUAAUUCAUGGCUAAGUGGGAAAGCAGGUGAGACGACCAAAACAACCAGGAGGUUGGCUUAGAAGCAGCCAUCCUUUAAAGAUAGCGUAACAGCUCACUGGUCUAAAU